rnacentral:rRNA from 1 species
UACGGAGGGGGCUAGCGUUGUUCGGAAUUACUGGGCGUAAAGCGCGCGUGGGCGGCUUUGCAAGUUAGAGGUGAAAGCCCGGGGCUCAACUCCGGAAUUGCCUUUAAAACUGCAUCGCUAGAAUUGUGGAGAGGUAAGUGGAAUUCCGAGUGUAGAGGUGAAAUUCGUAGAUAUUCGGAAGAACACCAGUGGCGAAGGCGACUUACUGGACACAUAUUGACGCUGAGGUGCGAAAGCGUGGGGAGCAAACAGG